rnacentral:lncRNA from 1 species
UGGGACAACAUCCCUAAUGCGCCUCGAAAUGAGGAACUCAAAAGUCACGUGUAAAGAAAAAAUCUCUGUGUAGUGAUAUUGGACAUGUUUCUAUUUUUAACAAAUGACUGAACUUAAUUAUUUGUGGUGAUUAGGAAAGUAGAGGAACAUAGAAUAAAUGUGUAAAAACUAUGGAGCUAUUGAAUGUGUUCAAAGUAUUAAAUUUUCAAAGAACUUAUUGUGUUAAAAAGGGGAUAUUUUACCACAAGGAGCCGCAUCACAAAAAGGAUGUUCGGGGUUUGCUAAUUUACGGAAAAAGUAAUCUCACUUCGUACCCCGAAAAUUUAACCACAUAUGUGAAAAUGUCACAGCUUCGAAACGAGCUAUCAUACAUAUCCAAGUUUACGAUAUGGACUGAGCUACAGGAAAAAACGUUACCAUUACCGCCUAUGUAAAAACAAUUAAAGAUAUUGAGCCAAUUUACAAAAAGAUUAAUCAGAAGUUUUCAGAGUGAUCUAUGGAUGAUUUCACCUUGUACACCCGGAAAAAGUGUGAAAAUGAUGGUUAGUAUUUUUUUAUUUAUACCUAGAUAUCCCAGAUGAUUUUAGAUAACCAUUAUAGAUAAAUACCAGCAAAUACUCAAUGAAAUUUUCGCUUUUAAAAUGCAUUACUGGCACGGGCUGAACACUUUUUUUAGGCACAAUUCUAACUUUGUUUACACCCCCGA